CAAAUAUCUGGGAGUUACGUUUGACCCGAUCCUCUCCUUCGACAAUCAUAUCCUUUCCACCGUCUCGUCCUGCAAGUCAAGUCUCUGUCAGAUAAAUCGAGCUAAACACGCCUUCAAUAAAAAUCUGUCAGUAACUGUAAUAAGUGCUUUGGUUUUCAGCAAGCUCUACUAUUGUUCUUCAGUUUCGGUGGCCAACUCGAAAGCUUGGGAAGCUUGGGCCCACGAACGGUGGCCAACUCGAAAGCUUCUCAGCUACUUUGGCCACUGUACACGAUAUAAUACCAUAAUUAACUCCCUUUUUUUCCCUUCCAUUAUGAUUUUUUUGUGAUGUAAUUAAUGUCUAACUAUAUCUUUUGUAAACGUGUGAAAUAAAAUUGAAUUGAAUUUGGUC